rnacentral:rRNA from 1 species
UUCUGGUUGAUCCUGCCAGUAGUUAUAUGCUUGUCUCAAAGAUUAAGCCAUGCAUGUCUAAGUACACACGAAUUAAAAGUGAAACCGCAAAAGGCUCAUUAUAUCAGUUAUGGUUCAUUAGAUCGUUAACAGUUACUUGGAUAACUGUGGUAAUUCUAGAGCUAAUACAUGCAAUAUAAACACGGACCUUUUGGAACGUGUGCUUUUAUUAGGCUAAAACCAAGCGAUUUUUUCGGAAAUCGUUAUUAUGGUUGAACUCUAGAUAAUUUGCCGAUCGUAUGGUCUUGUACCGACGACAGAUCUUUCAAAUGUCUGCCCUAUCAACUAUUGAUGGUAGUAUCUAGGACUACCAUGGUUGCAACGGGUAACGGGGAAUCAGGGUUCGAUUCCGGAGAGGGAGCCUGAGAAACGGCUACCACAUCUAAGGAAGGCAGCAGGCGCGUAAAUUACCCACUCCCAGUUCGGGGAGGUAGUGACGAAAAAUAACAAUACAGGACUCAUAUCCGAGGCCCUGUAAUUGGAAUGAGUACACUUUAAAUCCUUUAACAAGGACCUAUUGGAGGGCAAGUCUGGUGCCAGCAGCCGCGGUAAUUCCAGCUCCAAUAGCGUAUAUUAAAGUUGUUGCGGUUAAAACGUUCGUAGUUGAAUUUGUGCUUCAUACGGGUAGUACAACUAUAAUUGUGGAUUGUACAUUACCUUAUGUAUGCAAGCGUAUUACCGGUGGAGUUCUAAUAUAUAAUAGUAUUCGUAUUAUUAUGUAUACCUCCUAUUUAAACCUGCUUCAGUGCUCUUCAUCGAGUGUUGUUGUGGGCCGGUACAAUUACUUUGAACAAAUUAGAGUGCUUAAAGCAGGCUCCAAAUGCCUGAAUAUUUUGUGCAUGGAAUAAUGAAAUAAGACCUCUGUUCUACUUUCAUUGGUUUUUAGAUCAAGAGGUAAUGAUUAAUAGAAGCAGUUUGGGGGCAUUAGUAUUACGACGCGAGAGGUGAAAUUCUUGGACCGUCGUAAGACUAACUUAAGCGAAAGCAUUUGCCAAAGAUGUUUUCAUUAAUCAAGAACGAAAGUUAGAGGUUCGAAGGCGAUCAGAUACCGCCCUAGUUCUAACCAUAAACGAUGCCAGCUAGCAAUUGGGUGUAGCUACUUCUAUGGCUCUCUCAGUCGCUUCCCGGGAAACCAAAGCUUUUGGGCUCCGGGGGAAGUAUGGUUGCAAAGCUGAAACUUAAAGGAAUUGACGGAAGGGCACCACCAGGAGUGGAGCCUGCGGCUUAAUUUGACUCAACACGGGAAAACUUACCAGG